rnacentral:rRNA from 1 species
AGAGUUUGAUCAUGGCUCAGAUUAAACGCUGGCGGCAUGCCUUACACAUGCAAGUCGAACGGCAGGCACGGGGGGCAACCCUGGUGGCGAGUGGCGGACGGGUGAGUAAUGCAUCGGAACGUGCCCUGAAGUGGGGGAUAACGCAGCGAAAGCUACGCUAAUACCGCAUAUUCUGUGAGCAGGAAAGCAGGGGAUCGCAAGACCUUGCGCUUUGGGAGCGGCCGAUGUCGGAUUAGCUAGUUGGUGGGGUAAAGGCCUACCAAGGCGACGAUCCGUAGCGGGUCUGAGAGGAUGAUCCGCCACACUGGGACUGAGACACGGCCCAGACUCCUACGGGAGGCAGCAGUGGGGAAUUUUGGACAAUGGGCGGAAGCCUGAUCCAGCCAUGCCGCGUGAGUGAAGAAGGCCUUCGGGUUGUAAAGCUCUUUCGGCGGGGAAGAAAUUGCACGGGUUAAUACCCUGUGUAGAUGACGGUACCCGAAUAAGAAGCACCGGCUAACUACGUG